rnacentral:rRNA from 1 species
UACGUAGGGGGCUAGCGUUGUCCGGAUUUAUUGGGCGUAAAGCGCGUGUAGGCGGCCUCGUCAGUCCGCUGUGAAAGUCAAAGGCUCAACCUUUGAAAGCCGGUGGAUACUGUGAGGCUAGAGUACGGAAGAGGCGAGUGGAAUUCCUGGUGUAGCGGUGGAAUGCGCAGAUAUCAGGAGGAACACCAAUAGCGAAGGCAGCUCGCUGGGACGUUACUGACACUGAGGCGCGAAAGCGUGGGGAGCGAACAGG